rnacentral:rRNA from 1 species
UACGGAGGGUGCAAGCGUUAAUCGGAUUUAUUGGGCGUAAAGAGCAUGUAGGCGGAGUGGAAAGUUAGAUGUGAAAUCCCGGGGCUCAACUCCGGAUCCGCAUCUAAAACUCCCAUUCUAGAGGAUGGACGGAGAAAAGGGAAUUCCACGUGUAGCGGUGAAAUGCGUAGAUAUGUGGAAGAACACCGGUGGCGAAGGCGCUUUUCUAGUUUAGACCUGACGCUGAGAUGCGAAAGCGAGGGGAGCAAACAGG